rnacentral:rRNA from 1 species
ACACGUAGGGGGCUAGCGUUAUCCGGAAUUACUGGGCGUAAAGGGUGCGUAGGUGGUUUCUUAAGUCAGAAGUGAAAGGCUACGGCUCAACCGUAGUAAGCUUUUGAAACUAAGAGACUUGAGUGCAGGAGAGGAGAGUAGAAUUCCUAGUGUAGCGGUGAAAUGCGUAGAUAUUAGGAGGAAUACCAGUUGCGAAGGCGGCUCUCUGGACUGUAACUGACACUGAGGCACGAAAGCGUGGGGAGCAAACAGGAUUAGAUACCCUGGUAGUCCACGCCGUAAACGAUGAGUACUAGCUGUCGGGGGUUACCCCCCUCGGUGGCGCAGCUAACGCAUUAAGUACUCCGCCUGGGAAGUACGCUCGCAAGAGUGAAACUCAAAUGAAUUGACGGGG